rfam:Callithrix jacchus chromosome 20, whole genome shotgun sequence
ACAAAGGCUUUUUUUAAAGCUACUAAAUUUUGGGUGUUUUGUUACAU